rnacentral:rRNA from 1 species
AUUGAACGCUGGCGGCAGGCCUAACACAUGCAAGUCGAGCGGCAGCGGGAAAGUAGCUUGCUACUUUUGCCGGCGAGCGGCGGACGGGUGAGUAAUGCCUGGGGAUCUGCCCAGUCGAGGGGGAUAACUACUGGAAACGGUAGCUAAUACUGCAUACGCCCUACGGGGGAAAGCAGGGGACCUUCGGGCCCUGCGCGAUUGGAUGAACCCAGGUGGGAUUAGCUAGUUGGUGAGGUAAUGGCUCACCAAGGCGACGAUCCCUAGCUGGUCUGAGAGGAUGAGCGGCCACACUGGAACUGCGACACGGUCCAGAAUCCUACGGGAGGCAGCAGUGGGGAAUAUUGCACAAUGGGGGAAACCCUGAUGCAGCCAUGCCGCGUGUGUGAAGAAGGCCUUCGGGUUGUAAAGCACUUUCAGCGAGGAGGAAAGGUUGGUAGCUAAUAACUGCCAGCUGUGACGUUACUCGCAGAAGAAGCACCGGCUAACUCCGUGCCAGCCGCCGCAGUAACAC